UUUUCAGGGUGCUGAUCUGAAGGCUGGGAAUCUGCAAGGUCAUGUAUUAGCAGACUACCACCGACCAACACCACCAUCUGAAAGUGGUUACCACCGCUACCAGUUCCUCCUCUAUGAACAGCCAGCUCAUGAAGCUAUAUCCUUGAAUUCAGAUGAAACUGCAUCUUUGGGUUCCUGGAACAUAAACAACUUUGUGGAUCGGUUUCAGCUCGGAACACCUGUGGCUUCAACCCAGUUUAUCACUAAGAAUUACCAUGACUAGCAAUAGAAGCACCAACAACCCUUUUGCUCUGAAUGAUUUAGCUUGCAUUCUUCCUUUGGAGCACUCCAAAUCAGAGUGAAUCUUUCUCUUUAUUCAACAAGCAUGGGCUGGAUUUUUGCCAGAUCUGUGGGCUUUAUAGAGCUGGCUCUGCUUUUAUUUUAGGAUUCAUAAUGUUAUUCAACUGGCCUUAGUGGAAUUGUAUAGUCAUUCCUAGCAUUCUACAGCACAUAUCACAGAAAAUGUAAUGGAUUCAUUGCAGAAUUUGGAUGGCCUUAAAAUUAAGUAUGGAUUCCAAAUUCUUCUCAUGUGAGCCUGGAAGCAAAGUGACAAUGUAGUAACCAACCUAUAACUCUUCCUUAUACACAUAACCAUUGCCCCCUACCAGCUUUCUGGGAAAUGUGUCUUCUAUUAAAAUUCUAUCCAGCUAUGACAAAUAAAGUAAAUAAACAAACACAUCUGUAAGAAUAUUCUCUCCAAAGUGUUUUUUCCUAUCGAAAGGUCUAUAGCUUGGUCAUGCCCAGCAGUCACACAUGUUCUAGCCUCAUAUUUAAGGUAUUCCAUUGACAUCAAAUUAUCUUAUUAUACUCUUUUAUAAUGCUCUUGUUCUUUGUAUGUACACAUGUACAUUUCACCUUUUAAAUAAUAUCUGCUAUGUAUUGCAGCAUUCAAUUAAAAAAUAGCAUUUCAU